CUUGGAGAGUUUGAUCCUGGCUCAGAACGAACGCUGGCGGCAGGCUUAACACAUGCAAGUCGAGCGCCCCGCAAGGGGAGCGGCAGACGGGUGAGUAACGCGUGGGAACGUACCAUUUGCUACGGAAUAACUCAGGGAAACUUGUGCUAAUACCGUAUGUGCCCUUCGGGGGAAAGAUUUAUCGGCAAAUGAUCGGCCCGCGUUGGAUUAGCUAGUUGGUGGGGUAAAGGCUCACCAAGGCGACGAUCCAUAGCUGGUCUGAGAGGAUGAUCAGCCACACUGGGACUGAGACACGGCCCAGACUCCUACGGGAGGCAGCAGUGGGGAAUAUUGGACAAUGGGCGCAAGCCUGAUCCAGCCAUGCCGCGUGAGUGAUGAAGGCCCUAGGGUUGUAAAGCUCUUUCACCGRUGAAGAUAAKACGGUAACCGGAGAAGAAGCCCGGCUWUYAU
rnacentral:rRNA from 1 species